AUGGCUAGGGAAGAGGAGAUGGAGAUCAAGAAGAAAGAAGAGGCAGGCGGGCAAGGGAAGGCUCAGUCUCGGUUCAGAAGGAUAUGCGUCUUCUGUGGGAGCAGCAAGGGCAACAAGAAGAGCUACCAGGAUGCUGCCGUUGAGCUUGGCAAGGAGCUGGUUGCAAGGAACAUUGAUUUGGUGUACGGAGGAGGCAGCCUGGGGCUCAUGGGCCUGGUCUCUCAAGCAGUGCACAGCAGAGGGAGGCAAGUAACUGGGAUGAUUCCCACAACCCUCAUGCCCAGAGAGAUAAUUGGUGAGACAGCGGGGGAGGUGAAGGAAGUGGCAGACAUGCACCAAAGGAAAGCUGAGAUGGGCAGGCAAUCUGAUGCAUUUAUAGCGCUCCCUGGAGGGUAUGGAACGCUUGAAGAGCUCCUAGAAGUAAUCACAUGGGCCCAGCUUCGCAUUCACGACAAGCCAGUUGGGCUGCUGAAUGUGGACGGCUAUUACAACGCUCUGCUAUCUUUCAUCGACAAGGCCAUGGAGGAAGGGUUGAUCGCGCCCACCGCACGCCACAUCAUCGUGCUGGGUACGACAGCCAGUGAACUGCUCGACAAGCUGCAGGAGUACUCUCCACGUCACGGGGAAAUGAAGGGUGAGGUGGAACAACUUAGCAGCCGUAAGAACUGCGACAUGGAUGGGCUGAAAGAAGGAUCAUCCCAGGGACCCGAUGCAGCAUGA
rnacentral:rRNA from 1 species